UUCAUUCUUCUUCUUUCUUCGUCUUCCGCUUUCUUUCUCUGUUUUUCUGAUCCGUCCGAUUCAUGUGCUUUUAGUUGAGGGAGUCGAUUGAUGCUGUCGUGUAGAUGAUGAAGGAGGUAUUGUUGUUGUGAAUCUUAAAGAAGGAGUGAUGGGUUGAAGAGAAUUAGAAUUUAAGGUUCUGUGAAUUGAAGAUGAACUGAUCUAAUUAAAUAAGAACAGAUUUGAGUAUGGGUUUCAAUGAAUCUGAUGUGAAGUGGAAGGUUAUGGGUUUGACUUCGAAGAACAGAAGUUAUUUAACAGUUUGAGAAAUAAUUAGGGUUUCAGUGAUUUCGGUUGGAGUUCGAUUAGGUGAUGAUUAAGUGAAAUUGAAGUAUGGGUUUUGAAGAUUAUGAAGUGACUACGAAGUUAAUGAUGUUAAUUUGAAGAUUCAAUUACUGAGACUGUAAGGUUUGAGGAAUUAGAGUUUAUGUUCUGUUCUUCCCCAAUUUGAGAAUUAGGGUUUUUAAGAAUUGAAGAUGUCGAUGAAGGUUGUUGGUGUUGAUUCAAGACUCGGGAAGAAAGGGUAAGUUCAAUUUAAGAUUCCAGAACUCAUUUAUCCUUAUUUUGCGUAUAUUUGAGUUUGAGAAUUGAACUUCCUUGGUUGGGUCUGUUGUGUAUGUUUAGUUGGUGCCAUAAUGAAUUGAUGAGAUGAUUUAGUUGUGAUGGUGAUAUUGUUGAUGUUACAGGGGAAGAGAAUGUUGUUGGGGUGAAUGCAGAUUGUUCUGGUGUUGAGUUAAGUUGAAUAGUUUGCAAGAAGUUUUAGUUUUGGUUUAAGUUAUGAGUUUGUGAAUUGAGGUUGAACAUUUGUAUUGAAGAGCAUGCCUUGGUUCUGCUCUUUAGGAAAUUGGAGUUGGUUAUUGUGUUGUUAGUAGAAUUCAUGAGUUUGUAUCUCAGUUGAUGAAGAAGUGGUACUGCAGGUGUAGCUGUAUUGGUGGUUUGAAUGUAUUUGAUGUCUAUGGGAUUUAGAUAUUGGUUAAGAUUUGAGAAUGAUGUUAAAUGAAGGUUGCUUGUAGCUGAAUUGUUUAAGUUGCAGGGAAUGGAGAUGAGGUAAGAACUGGUGUGCACAAGAAGCUGCAGAUGGUUGAGCUAAGUGAUGUGGUGAGUCUGUUAUUGUGCAUAUAGAAACAGAAACUGGGGUGUUGAGAUUGAAUUGCAGUUGUUAGGAAUAUGUGUUUAGAAAUGGAACUGAAUGUUGAUGUUAAAACUAAACUCAAUGGUUGGUGUUUAGAGGAGUAGCUUAGGUCGAAAUCUUUCAGUGAAAGCUUGGAACUGCAAUUGCAGUUAGUCUAUAUUAACAACGAUCGAUUCAAAGGAUGAACCGGUGGAUCGUGGAUCUCGAGGUGGGCGUGGCUUGUCAUCAAAAGAGGUGGGAAUUUAUAUUUAACUCUUUUGUAAUUAUUAUUGUUUUCUUUUACAAAAGUUUAUGUUUGA